rnacentral:tRNA from 1 species
GCGGCGGUAGCUCAGUUGGUAGAGCAUCAGCUUCCCAAGCUGAGGGUCGCCGGUUCGAGCCCGGUCCGCCGCU